UAUAACAAAAAAAGAAAAAAAAAAAAAAAUAGAGUACAAUAAAACUGCGGAGAAAUGGAAGGUCUGAGGAAGCUGGAACAAGUGCAGAGGACUAUACUGUCAAUGCAAUCGCGAGAGUCCAUCUCUUCUUCCAACAACAACCACAACCACAACCACAACCACGCCGACUGCGAUCGCUUCCUCGCUAAUUUCAUCCUCCUUUUGAUACAACCAUAUGGUGACCUUGACAUGGAGAAGAAGUGCAAAUUGAUAAAUGAGAACUUGCCCAAGAUUUCUACUGUGUUUCUUGAAGAAGCAUUGCCCUGCCUCAGUGAGAAAGGCAAUUGUGAGCACAAAGCAGGCACUAAUUCAUUGCAAACUGAUCAUGAUGACAUGGCUAUGGUUGGGCUGGCGGCAAUGCAAGAUGCAAAUUCUACUCUGGAAGAUUUUUGCAGGUCUUAUUUUAUGUUUCACGACAUGGAUGUUAACAGGCCGCAAUCAAUCUUCAGAUAUUUGCCAAUACUUUCAUUCACAGAAAGUUAUAUCUAUCAGUUGGAUAGAUUAAAUGAGAAAAUGCUCAAAAUACCAACUGAAGAAGUUACAGUUUUAGAAAGAGGGUUUCAUUUGGAAGCUAAUCAGAGCUGGGUUGUUAAGUUCAUAGAGCUGUUCAAAACCAAUCCAUUUGGACUUCUUGUUCUUCCAUUUGAGCAUCACGGACUUUUGACAGAGCGGAUAAGGGAGGAGUUUAGGCAUGGAGAGGAAUACUGGGCUCUAGAAAGAAAGCUCUGUUGUGCUUUAACAAGCAACAAGAAGAUUUUAGUUGAAGAUGUGAUGAGGGCGAUUCAUCUAAAAUCAUUUGAUUAUCGGGUGCUGAAUCUUCUUUUAUACCAGUUAAGAGGAGAAAAGGUUAAUGAUUUGCACAUGGAAUUUCUCUCAGUCUCAGAAUUCCUUGUCGAGCUGUCUGAUGAUAUGUUUGACUAUGAGGAUGAUGUGUUGGAGAACAAUUUUAAUGUUUUGCGCAUGUUUGUUAGAAUAUAUGGAGCUUCUGUAGCGCCGACCAUGCUGGUGGGUAUGAUAAUGUACCUAGGCAAAAUGCAUUAGUGAGGCUGAAGAGAAGUAUGAUCGCUUAUUGAGAGAUUUGGAUCCCAAACUGUCUACUAAUUAUCAGAGAAGAUGCGAAGAAGCCACUAGAGAAGGAGGGAAGUUAUCAGGACCUUAUCUUGGCACAUGGAGUAUACCUCCAGUAAUUGUAGAUGAGGAUUUCUAUCGAUCUGAAUUUUCAAAUUCCAAGUGAUCAGUUGGAACUGCAGGCUGAAGGCAGACAUAUAUAUAGUCAACCGGAACUAAGUUCAAAUCCUUGCACUUACUGCAAUCUAAUGGAUUUGAACUUGUGAUGUUUAAUGUUCGGUUUCCAGAGAAGAGAAUCAUUUUGUUAAUGCUCUGGUCAAGACUUUUUAUUUUUAUUUUUAGAGAGCAUGCACCGGGCAAGACUUGUAUCAGUAAAAGAAUUUAAGUGCAAACCCUGCAUGCAUAUGACAUUAUGAAUGUUCCAUUUUAUUAUUAUUAUUAUUUUUCUUUUUUCCUUUU